rnacentral:rRNA from 1 species
UACGUAGGGGGCAAGCGUUGUCCGGAAUUACUGGGCGUAAAGCGUGCGUAGGCGGCGAUGCAAGACAGAUGUGAAAUCCCCGGGCUUAACCUGGGAACUGCAUUUGUGACUGCAUGGCUAGAGUGUGUCAGAGGGAGGUGGAAUUCCGCGUGUAGCAGUGAAAUGCGUAGAGAUGCGGAGGAACACCGAUGGCGAAGGCAGCCUCCUAGGG